rnacentral:rRNA from 1 species
CACCGGGUGGAUGAGUGGCGAACGGGUGAGUAACACGUGAGUAACCUGCCCCUGACUUCGGGAUAAGCCCGGGAAACUGGGUCUAAUACCGGAUACGACUGCCGGACGCAUGUCUGGUGGUGGAAAGUUUUUUCGGUUGGGGAUGGGCUCGCGGCCUAUCAGUUUGUUGGUGAGGUAAUGGCUCACCAAGACGACGACGGGUAGCCGGCCUGAGAGGGCGACCGGCCACACUGGGACUGAGACACGGCCCAGACUCCUACGGGAGGCAGCAGCC